CCCGUGAAUAAAUUAUCCCUAAUCAAUUUAAAAAGAAAAUCUUCUCUCUCCUGUUUCUUUCUUCUUCUUCUUCUUCAUCAUCAUACCUUCCUCUUUUUCUUCAUGGUAAGUCUACAGACACCACGCCAACAUGAAGCUUUCGUGAAUAUUUUUGGCCUGUCGUUGUUGUCUAUAAUUCGAGAAGAAAAUUUAUUAGAAUUUUAAUUCUUGGACUUGAUGAAGAUUUCUCUUCAAGUAUCUCCACAUCUUCUACCAUCUGAUUCACUCAUCAUUAUGGGCACCUCCACUGCCAGAUCUACCAAAUUCUCUCCUUUGCAUCGACAACUUUGCUUUUUUUUCCCUUCAUAUAUUUGGGUUCUUCAUUAAAUUCUCUGUUUUUUCAGGAGCUAUAGAUGAUCAGUGAAAUUGCAAAUACUGAUUUUAAUUCAAAGGAAUUCAUAAAGAGAAGAGUUGAUAAUUGAUUCUCUUUGGCCUUUGCUACAGUUAGAAGAGGUCCUUUAGCUAAAGACUACAUAUUUUAUGUUAGGUUAUUUAAUUAUAAGACUACAAAUUUUAUGUGAGGUUAUUUAAUUACUAAAAUGACUGUUUGGAUUGUACGAUAGAAAAGUUGUAUUCUCUUUUUUUUUA